rnacentral:rRNA from 1 species
UACAGAGGUCCCAAGCGUUGUUCGGAUUCAUUGGGCGUAAAGGGUGCGUAGGUGGCGCGCUAAGUCAGGUGUGAAAUUUCGGAGCUUAACUCCGAAACUGCAUUUGAUACUGGCGUGCUUGAGGACUGGAGAGGAGACUGGAAUUUACGGUGUAGCAGUGAAAUGCGUAGAGAUCGUAAGGAAGACCAGUGGCGAAGGCGGGUCUCUGGGCAGUUCCUGACACUGAGGCACGAAGGCCAGGGGAGCAAACGGG